rnacentral:rRNA from 1 species
GACGUAGGGCGCGAGCGUUGUCCGGAUUUAUUGGGCGUAAAGAGCUCGUAGGCGCUUGUCGCGUCGAGUGUGAAAUCCUGCGGCUCAACUGCAGGCUUGCAUUCGAUACGGGCAGGCUUGAGUCCGGGAGAGGUGAGUGGAAUUCCCAGUGUAGCGGUGAAAUGCGUAGAUAUUGGGAGGAACACCAGAGGCGAAGGCGGCGACCUGGACAGGUACUGACACUCAACUACGAAAGCGUGGGGAGCAAAC